GACGAACGCUGGCGGCGUGCUUAACACAUGCAAGUCGAACGGAAAGGCCCUGCUUUUGUGGGGUGCUCGAGUGGCGAACGGGUGAGUAACACGUGAGUAACCUGCCCUUGACUUUGGGAUAACUUCAGGAAACUGGGGCUAAUACCGGAUAGGAGCUCCUGCUGCAUGGUGGGGGUUGGAAAGUUUCGGCGGUUGGGGAUGGACUCGCGGCUUAUCAGCUUGUUGGUGGGGUAGUGGCUUACCAAGGCUUUGACGGGUAGCCGGCCUGAGAGGGUGACCGGCCACAUUGGGACUGAGAUACGGCCCAGACUCCUACGGGAGGCAGCAGUGGGGAAUAUUGCACAAUGGGCGGAAGCCUGAUGCAGCAACGCCGCGUGCGGGAUGACGGCCUUCGGGUUGUAAACCGCUUUCGCCUGUGACGAAGCGUGAGUGACGGUAAUGGGUAAAGAAGCACCGGCUAACUACGUGCCAGCAGCCGCGGUGAUACGUAGGGUGCGAGCGUUGUCCGGAUUUAUUGGGCGUAAAGGGCUCGUAGGUGGUUGAUCGCGUCGGAAGUGUAAUCUUGGGGCUUAACCCUGAGCGUGCUUUCGAUACGGGUUGACUUGAGGAAGGUAGGGGAGAAUGGAAUUCCUGGUGGAGCGGUGGAAUGCGCAGAUAUCAGGAGGAACACCAGUGGCGAAGGCGGUUCUCUGGGCCUUUCCUGACGCUGAGGAGCGAAAGCGUGGGGAGCGAACAGGCUUAGAUACCCUGGUAGUCCACGCUGUAAACGGUGGGUACUAGGUGUGGGGUCCAUUCCACGGGUUCCGUGCCGUAGCUAACGCUUUAAGUACCCCGCCUGGGGAGUACGGCCGCAAGGCUAAAACUCAAAGGAAUUGACGGGGCCCCGCACAAGCGGCGGAGCAUGCGGAUUAAUUCGAUGCAACGCGUAGAACCUUACCUGGGUUUGACAUGGAUCGGGAGUGCUCAGAGAUGGGUGUGCCUCUUUUGGGGUCGGUUCACAGGUGGUGCAUGGCUGUCGUCAGCUCGUGUCGUGAGAUGUUGGGUUAAGUCCCGCAACGAGCGCAACCCUUGUUCACUGUUGCCAGCACGUUAUGGUGGGGACUCAGUGGAGACCGCCGGGGUCAACUCGGAGGAAGGUGGGGAUGACGUCAAGUCAUCAUGCCCCUUAUGUCCAGGGCUUCACGCAUGCUACAAUGGCUGGUACAGAGAGUGGCGAGCCUGUGAGGGUGAGCGAAUCUCGGAAAGCCGGUCUCAGUUCGGAUUGGGGUCUGCAACUCGACCUCAUGAAGUUGGAGUCGCUAGUAAUCGCAGAGCAGCAACGCUGCGGUGAAUACGUUCCCGGGGC
rnacentral:rRNA from 1 species